rnacentral:rRNA from 1 species
UUGAACGCUGGCGGCAGGCCUAACACAUGCAAGUCGAACGGUAACAGGAAACAGCUUGCUGUUUCGCUGACGAGUGGCGGACGGGUGAGUAAUGUCUGGGAAACUGCCUGAUGGAGGGGGAUAACUACUGGAAACGGUAGCUAAUACCGCAUAACGUCGCAAGACCAAAGAGGGGGACCCUCGGGCCUCUUGCCAUCGGAUGUGCCCAGAUGGGAUUAGCUUGUUGGUGGGGUAACGGCUCACCAAGGCGACGAUCCCUAGCUGGUCUGAGAGGAUGACCAGCCACACUGGAACUGAGACACGGUCCAGACUCCUACGGGAGGCAGCAGUGGGGAAUAUUGCACAAUGGGCGCAAGCCUGAUGCAGCCAUGCCGCGUGUAUGAAGAAGGCCUUCGGGUUGUAAAGUACUUUCAGCGGGGAGGAAGGGAGUAAAGUUAAUACCUUUGCUCAUUGACGUUACCCGCAGAAGAAGCACCGGCUAACUCCGU